GUAAAAUUACUGUCACUGAAAGUAAAUUCAAAUAACAAUUACGAAAGCAAAACGAACUCUUUUUCUCUAUUGUACUGUGAACAAAGCUGUCGUGGCCCCUCCCACUCUGGCAAAGGUUGGCAGUUGAAAUGGCUUAUCAUCAGGAUGGUGUCAAUAGCUGUGUGUGUUUGUGAGGGCAAAUGUGUUUGGAGAAGUAAAUGCACUGAGGUUGGCAAAAUCCGUUAUUGUCUGGUGAGCCAAGUGACCAUAAGAAUCCUAUUCCGCUCCUCUGGGAUGAGAAGGCGAGUCCUGCUGUUCCAGGAAGAUGCCAUGCCAGGGGCAGUUUGAGCCCAAGUUCCACAGACUAAGCACAAAGCGUUAUCCAUGGUGAAAAUGGCUCAGCCUCCCCCGGCCAGGCACUCCUUAUCUUAUAUUUGAGAAACAUAAAGGUGGAGAAACCUGUGGCCUUGGUUUGCUCAUCCGCAAACUUGGGAAGAUGUGUGGGUGACUGUAUUAUCCCCAGUGCUGGACCCACACCAGGAAAAUCAGGGCUGAAAGUGGGGAGUGUCCUCUUCCUUUCAAGAAAGAAGGAUGGGAAGGGGCCCACGGCAGCCCCCGGGCUCCCAGCCGAGGAGAAGCAACACUGGACGUAACCCAGCACUGCCACCAUCUUCUCCUGGCUGGGGCAGCCGCAGCGCUUUAUCCUUCCAUGCAGGCUGUCUGUUCAUGCCCUCAGGAGGAAGAACCAAGCCAGCACCUUGUUCAUCUUGUGAAGGAAAUGUGGCAAGCCUGUUUAAGUUACCAAGUAAAGGAGAAUGGUACUCGGCUCCUUGUUAUCCUGGAAAGGCAAUUUCAUAGGACUCUGAGCCCUACACUUAUGUCUUGGAACCCUGGGGUGCAUUUUCCGAGGGUCUUUUCUCUUUUAAGAGAACAUUCCAGAACAUCAUAAGUGGUGACUUUAAAUUCUUCACCCCUUUCAUUAUCGAAAGAAUAGAUUUCGGAGAGGAGCAUAACUGUCUUCUGCCAUAGCCUUCAGUCUAACCUGCUCUUACAGGAUGACUCACUUCAUCGUGGCUGGGUUUUAAUAGUAUGUGGCAUUGAGGAGGCUGCUUCUAAAUGACUAAUCUUGAAUUACGGAUGGAUCUUUAAAAAUAUGUUGUAGAACAGGCCAUGUUUAUUUUUAGUGGCUUUCUCCCCAUAAUGUUAUCUGCAUAUUUCCCUGUCCAUGUGCUUGGUCACUGAUGACAAGCAAGGAAAAGUGUGAUGUCUAAGGAGGACAUGCAAAAGAAUGUUUGAAGAUUUUCCCUUCCCUUAUUUUCUGGCAGUGACUUGUGUUUAGGAGAAUUGGCACUUAAACAAGAUAAUUCAACUUUUUAAAUUUUUUUUAAGCCAUCAAUUGUUCUUCUGAAUGACAGUGAUCCCCAUUAAGGGAGAUUGGGUGAGGGGUGGAGAGAGAAUCAAACAGCACUUCAAAGAAGGAGAAGCAACAACUUCCAGCAUUUCCACCAUGAUUUUCAUCUCAGAGUCUUUAAGCACCAUAGAAACAGGUGGUCAAAGGAGACUUGACUGACAAUUUACAAAAUAGACUAGAGGAAAGCAGAAUUUUUUUAAAAGUUCACAUACUUUUUGGUAGAGUUUUGGGGACUCUGGCCACAAGAUAUCCUACUUCUCUUACUGCCUCUGACACACCAGGGCUUUCUCUAACCACAGGCUGCGUAAAUUGCCCCUUAUUGAUACAAUUUGGGAAGUCAUGCUCAGAGACACCCUCCCCCCACCCCAGAUUCCUUCCUGACAAGCCCAUCUCGGUGCUUGAAAGUUUACUGCUAAAGAAUCAUUGAUUGGGGCAGCCUGGUGGCAUGGUGGUUAAGUUUGCGCCCUCAGUUUCAGUGGCCUGGGGUUCACUGGUUUGGAUCCUGGCUGCAGACCUACACACGGCUCAUCAAGCCAUGCUGUGGUGGCAUCCCACAUACAAAAUAGAGGAAGACUGGCACAGAUGUUAGCUCAGCGACAAUCGUCCUCAAGCAAAAAGAGGAAGAUUGGCAACAGAUGCUAGCUUACGGCCAGUCUUCCUCGCCAAAAAGAAGAAUCAUCAUCAUUUAUUUAUUCAUUUAUUUGUUCAACCAAUUCUUAGUCUGUGCCUAUUAGGUGCUAGAGGAGAAUGACACGGCCUCAGCACAAAUUGCCAGUACUUCCCGUGUCUUAAGAUCAUGGCCAACAUCACUAAUAGAUUAUUCUGCUGCUUUUUGAAGAACUAAGAUGCAGACAGCCAACCCAGAUAGUAUGAAUUUGUUCAUGUCACUCCCCUACUCAGAAUUCCUCGAUUGCUUCCCUCUUUGUAUGAUGAAGACCGAAGUCUUUACUGUGGCCCCCAAAGGCCCAUGUGACCUGGCCCUGCCUCCUCUCUGGUGUCCCCCUAGACCAGCCUCAUCUUUGCUCUCUGUCCCCCAGCUACAUUAUCUUUCUUCUAGCUCCCCCAAGGGUCCGUCUUCCUUCUGGCUUUAGGAUCUUCAAACUUGCUGUCCCUCUGGCUAGAAUAGUCCCUGCUCGUCCCAGCACACCCUCUUUACCUAGUUAACUCCUGUUUGUUCUCGAGAUCCCAGCUCAGACGUCACAUCCUCAGGAGCCUCCCCUUGAUGAGCCUUGCGCCUGGUCUGGGCUGGAUCCCCCUUCUCCUCGCCUUCAUGGCACGAGGUCCUGUUCUGCCCAGCACUGAUUACGGUUUACAGUUAGAUUCAUCUGUGCUGUUAGCAUCAGUCGCCCCGACAGACCUUCAUGUCGCGUUGUCUCAGCACAUUAUUCUGGAGCUGAGCUUGAUACCUGGUGCUUACUUAGCAGGUACUCAGUUCAAAUGUAUUGCAUCAAUGAGUAUGAGCAGACAUGUGAAAGGAAGUCCCUUCUUCAUUGUUUUUCAGGCUGAGCACUGGGGACAAAAAGUGAAAUACAGUGGAAAGAACAUGCGCUUUGGAGUCAGACAGGGAAAGGGAAAAUGCCAGUUGUUCACCUACUCCCUGCGUGACCCUGGCAAGGGGCUGAGCAGCCAUCAUUUAUAGAGCGAGUGCUGUGUGCCAGGAACUAGGCAGGUAUUUUAUCCAUAUGCCCUCGUUCAGCCCUCACGACAACAUUAUGGUUUGAUAUUGUUGUAUCUAUUUUACGGAGAAGCAAAUUGAGAUGUUGAGAGGUCACAUAGCUAACGAUUUACUUAUUUAAGUGGCAGAGAGAGGAGUCAAAUUUGUGUUUGUCUGGUGCCAGGGUCCACGCUCCUGAACACUGUCUGUGUUGUUUAAUGUCUGCAAGGUUGAGUUUGCUCGCUUUGAAACAGGACGGUAAUUUUGUAAGUAACUCUGUCCUGAGAGCUCGUGUCUUAUAAUCUCCUCUUCACCCACUUGCACUAUCAGAUGAAUCCCUGUGCUCAGUGGACUACUGGAGGCGAAUGCUUGCUAGGGGCCGGUAGACAGGGUGAGUAAACUGGUUGAAUUCACAGUUUUCCUGUUAGUUUCAGUUAGCCUUUGCUGCACCACAAACCACCCCAAAACACCGUGGCUUAAAACAACAACUAUUCACUAUUUCUCACGCUUCUGUGGGUUGGCUGGGUGGCUUCUCAGCCUGUGUCACCUGGAUUCACUCAUGUGGCUCUAUUCACUGGCAGGCUAGAGGAGAUGGAAGGAAGUAGAGCGUGGUCGGUGGCAGCUAUAGGCACCUUAGCUCUCCCCUCAGGAGGCUCAGGGGCUUCCUGCCACAGCCCUCUCAGGGCAUGCCGGGGCGGGGGGCGGGGAAGCAGAAGCUGCUGGGCUUCUUGAGGCCCAGCCCCACAGGUCUCACAGCAUCACUUCCACCACGUUCUCUUGGCCUGGGCCAGUCACAAGGUGGCCCGAUUUGAGGGAUGGGGAAAUAGAUGUCCCCUCUAGAAAGUGGGGGAGCCAAAGACUCAUUGCAAAGGAGCAUAGGAGAAAUUAUUAUGACAUCUUUAAAAAUAAAAACCCACACACAACAUAUGAUGGAAUAUGGCACAGUCACCAAAAAUAAUGUUCACCAACAUUUGCCAUCAGUAUAAGAAAUGCCUUAUGAAAAUGGGAGAACAACCAUAUGCAUUAUUAUUAUAGCAAAACUUAGGAGCAAACAAACCACACAUAGAUGAAAGUGCAAAGUGAGGGAAUAAAAACACGCAAAUGAGAGAGGAAGAGGUGGAGCCCGACCUUCUGGGUGCUUCCAGGAUUCACAGCACCAGGCAGUUGACAGAGAGGAGCCUUGACACCCGCUCUGGAGGCUGCCUGGGGGAUGACGCACGCACAGAUGUGGGGGCUCUUUUCUCCUGGUCCCAGGGGCAUCUUGCCUUGCCGUAAUUCCCGGCUUCCUUCUGGAUCCUCUCUCGUCUUUUCAUCAUCCUCCCUAAGACAAUGGUCCUCUCUGAGGUUUGGGGUUGCUGUCGUUGCAAUGUGUGCUCUCCUCUCUGAUAAAACAGCCCUUGCGUGCACUUCAGCAGCCCGUGGCCAGCUGUCCACCCCGUGCAGCUUAAGCUGAGAGGCCAAGGUCCAGCACCGGAGGACUCCAGGCUUCUCCCGAGCAGUCUGAACUGACCACUCUGCCCCGCACAGUCUUCCCAGGGUUGGGAGGAGGCACAGCUGGAGGCAGAGGCCCCGUGAGUCCAGGGACCAGGCCUGGAGCAAAGUGAGGCUGGGAGCCAGAGCACUUGCUGCCCUCAGCUGGGAGGGCUUCUCCCUUAGAAGGACCCACAUCUCAGCUUAAUAAAAGGGCUACGGAUGCCUUUAGGGCUCCCUGGGGGCGAUUGUCCUUUAAUGACAUGAAGACUUCUUUAGGGCCCCUGUGUAAGGUUUAUCCUUUCUUUGUAGAAUCUUCUGGCUUUAGCGCUGAGAAGAACGCUAGCCAUUACUGUGCUCUCCCAGCGUCCCCCCAAGGACCCUGCACCCCACGAGGCUCUGCAUUAACCAGAUGCUUUUGCUGGAUGUAGGAGAUUUUUUUGGAAACUCAUAUUUUAGCUUUAAUACUUUUGUAAAUUUGAUAUUCUACUCUUCUAAAAAUCUGAUUGUUUUAAUGAAAUCAUAAUGUUUUCAGUAUCUAUCAAAUAAUGACUUUCCAAGAAGAAUAUCCCAUGUAUUCCUUUGUCUUCACAUGCCCCAAGCUUGAGUAUCAGGACUGAGAAAUACAGACACAGCAGAAUCUCUCCUUUUACUGGUGAGGGACCAAGGCUCCAAGGUUGGUUGAUGGUCCUCAGUCCUGGGGUGACCCGCAGUCCAGGCUGGUCAGCUCCCUGUGCUGACUCCUGCCUGGACGUCCUCCCCUCACAGCCGUCGGCUCUGGGGUCCUCCUCAGCCUCGGACUGGGGUUUCGUUGGAGAGAAAGGAGACGAGAGGUAAUAUCUUCCAGAUGUCAAAAAGAUGACGUUACUUCUACAAUUUAAUUGCUUGUAAUAAUGAAGGGGUUGAGAGAAGCAGGGAGUAAUUAAAGAUUUUGAGUAAAGCAGAAGUUCAGGUUUAGCAAGUUAAUGAUGUUGGCAGGCGCAGAGGACAGGGAACUCCAAAGCCACAACCACCUACCCUUUUUGAGAAGAAUGUGGCUAUGGUGACUGUGUUUUACAAACCAAAACUACAGCCUGACAAAGAAAUCGAAAACACGCUUUAAAGAAAAGAAGUCACUUUUGACUUAGGAAUUUAUUUUUUGUAAGCCUUAAUAAAGGAAUACAAAUAAAUCUAUAUACUUACACAUUUUAAAUAGCCUUUUGGAAAAGAAUGAAAGUACCUAUAAUUGGGACUCCCCCAGAAAGUCUGCCUUAUAAAAUCUGCCUCAAGAGAGAAAGAGGACUUUUUUUGAUGUGUUGCAUUCAUGAGUUCGUGGGUUUUAGAAGUUUUCAUUUUGCUGCAUAUUCACUCCCUCCAUCACAUCACUGAACUCCCGUGGGUCAAUUCCUGCAUCUGUAAAAUGACAGAAUUAUACAAUUGCUAUGGACCUUUAAAGUUUUGAAAUUCUGUGAAUCUAUGCCUGCCUCAAGCAUUUCCUUUCAAACGUGCCUUUCAUAUUUUAUUUAACAAAUGACUUCACUGGUUGGUAGAGGAAAGAGACUUGAAGGACCGGCACGUGUACCACCUCUUGCUACGGCCCUGAGAGAAUGCUGUCCUGAAGUCAGCCCCCAGCCUCCGAUGCACUGCGAGAAUCUCAGGGGCUAGACAGGAAUGGCCAACGGCAGGUACUCAAGUGUUACCAACAAAGGAAGGGUUGAAUGAAUGUGUCUGUAUCUAUUGUUACUUUGGAUGUUAGUUCAGGAAAUGCCUUUUUAUUUUUUCCUGGGAGGACAUCUGUCAUUUUAUUAAAAUACUUUGUAUAAAGUUUUCAAACUGAAGCAAAGUGAUUGCCCUUACAAGCUCACAAUUUAUAUAACAAAUUAGCAUAAACUGAUACUCAUUUUAAUAGAAGGUGAUGGAAGAAAAUAUGGAAUUUAUUUUGUGAAAUCUUGGUAUGUAGCUAACUAAAAUAUUUUAAUAACUUUAUUGAUACAUAAUUCACAUGCCAUAAUGUUCACCCAGUUAAAGUAUACAAUUCAAUGGUUUUUAAUAAAUUUAUAGAGUUGCUCAAUUGUCACAAUAAUUUAGAACAUUGUCAUCACCCUAACAAGAAACUUUGUACCCAUUAGCUGUCAUCUCCCUUCCCCUCUCCCCACCUCUCCUCACUCCUCAGUCCCAAGCAACCACUAGUCUACUUUCUUCCUCUAUAAAUGUGCCUUUUCUGGACAUUUCGUAUAAAGCUAAAUAAAAGAUGACAUUACUUAUUGUAACAUAAUCCCGAUUAUGAUAUGUCCAAUCCACCCUUGUGGACAAGCACAUGCAUAUUUACCCAAAUUCACAUAUCCAAAUCAAAGGAGGCACACUUCGAUAUCAAAGUGGAUUGCCUUCCAUCAUUUAUACUUCUCUUUAUUUUCCAACUUUCUGCACUGGGGAUGCGUUGGUUCUCUAUCAAAUGUUGUUCUUUUGAAUUUUAACAGUUUUUAGGCCACUUAGGUCAUAUUGAUGAUGCUGUGAAGUGAUUGUAGAGGGUGUAUAGGGUCUUCAUUUUUAUGAAGUAAUGAAGAAUUAGACUAAUGUUGAAAUAUGUCUACUUCAUGAUGAACCUCUCUUUUCAAGUUUAGCAGCUUUACCUUUUAGUCCACAUUUUCCCAAUCCUUUAUUAUAAAUUUGAUUUCUGCUUACACAUGAUAUAGUUUGUAAGAGCUUUUAAAUCCUUUCUGGAAUUAGGCCCAAUAUAAACAAACUACAGGUAAAUCAUAUCAAAGAUUGACCCAUUUAAUACAGAUAUGAGCGAGAAAUGGAUGAGAGAGGAAAACCCUCAGGGACUGGAACCUGUAGUCACAUACCUCAGCUCACCUUUCCAGAUUUGCCAACAAGGAGAACCCGUGACUGAUUUGGAUUCUCUGCUUUCUGUUCUUGUUCCCUGGAGGCGUUCCUUCUGUGUAAGGAAACGUCAGAUUUGGGAACUAGACAAGCUAUUUCAGAAUUACGCGUGGUGUUGAUUACAAAUGCGAGGCUCACUAAAUCAAGAGCUCCAGAAGCAGCGUCUUGGAAUUUGUCUUUAACGACAACCCUGGUGCUUCCAGUGUACACACAAGUCCAGAAGCCCAGAGUGGAAGCAGAGGCGAGAGGCUGGGGUGUCACACUGACAGACAACGACCCCACCGACCACCCGCACAGGACCCUCCUUUUCUGAGGAAGGCACAGGUUGACUAAAUGAUUGCAACGUGGCAAUCUUGAGUUUCUAGACUGUUGCCAGAAAGGCUUCCUUGGCCCUCAGCCAGGGCCCCACCCCUAUAAUCCUGCCUUCCCCCAACUCCUACCACGGGCUCCAAUCCCGAAGAUUUUGGGGGCCCCCGGAACUGGGCUUUUCUCACCACGGAUAAACAGUGUUUGUGUGUACAAACCCAGUGGCCUCCCCAGGAGACUGCAGACAUACUUUGUGGUACUUCACCUAAGUGUGGCUCUUCUGAGCGCAGAUCCACUUUCCCUCUGAGGCUGACUCUUCCAGGAUGGCCUUCCUCGGUUCCAGCUUGGGCCACCCUGGGCCACCCUGGGGCCCCUCUGCACACAGAAAAUAAAUUUUCUGCAAAGCAGAUACAAUUUGUUCUCCUUGAGUUAUGGAAACAAAGAGGCUUUAGGACGGUGCUGUCCUCCCAUCUUCAGAUGUCAGAGACACCUUUCUCCUCUUGAAAGAGACAAUUUUGUUCUGCUGAUGGCAGUACAGGCACCGUAUCAGCAGCACCCGGAAGAGCACCUGGCAGGAUCUAAGCGCUUGGAAAUGCUCUUGAUGAAGAAGAAACUAUAAAACCGCUCAUUAUAAAAUCAUCUUGGUGUGUUGGCUCUAACGUUUGUUUUCAUAUCCUGCGCCUACCUCCUCAAACACCUCCCCGUCACCCCUCCAUCUGCUCGCACAUCAACAAACAGGCAUGGAGCACAGGCUGGAGAGCAGCAUGCACCUGGCUCUGAGGCGUCCCCAGGGACAGUCAUGUGAACAGGCGGUCCGGCCCCAGGUUUUCAGGGUCUAGUCCAGAAGGGGGCACGUGAGGCUAGCGUUUGGAGUUGUUAGGCCUCUGCAACUACCUGAAGAUGGAAGAGAAGGUAUCCUGUGCUCUGUGCUCAGAGGAGAGAAGGAAGGCCGCUGCGGCAGAGGCAAAGUCACGUGUCCCUGCCAGCACGCGGCUAGAAUAACUCAGGCAGGAGGAGGCCAGAGAAGGACGCAGAGGGGGACCAGCCGUGCACCAGACGCACAGAGAGCAAAACCGUGGGGCCAGCCACUCCUUGGCGGUUCUCCUGGGUUGACAUCCCACCAAGCAAAUUAGAACCAGCUUUAAUGUUUGAUAAGGAGACACCAAGACUAGAGAAAUCCAGGGGAGCUGCAUUCAUGAGGUGGCACCAUUC
ensembl:lncRNA